rnacentral:misc_RNA from 1 species
GAUGAAGAACGUAGCGAAAUGCGAUAAGUAAUGCGAAUUGCAGAAUUUCCGUGAGUCAUCGAAUCUUUGAACGCACAUUGCGCUCCCUGGUAUUCCGGGGAGCAUGCCUGUUCGAGCGUCAUUACAACCCUCAAGCUCUGCUUGGUGUUGGGCCCCGCCGCCCCGGCGGGCCCUAAAGUCAGUGGCGGUGCCGUCCGGCUCCGAGCGUAGUAAUUUUUCUCGCUUUGGAGGCCCGGGCGCGUGCUUGCCAUCAACCCCCAAUUUUUUUCAGGUUGACCUCGGAUCAGGUAGGGAUACCCGCUGAACUUAAGCAUAUCAAUAAGCGGAGGA